rnacentral:rRNA from 1 species
GGACAACAGUUGGAAACGACUGCUAAUACCGCAUAAGCCCACGACCCGGCAUCGGGAAGAGGGAAAAGGAGCAAUCCGCUUUGAGAUGGCCUCGCGUCCGAUUAGCUGGUUGGUGAGGUAACGGCCCACCAAGGCGACGAUCGGUAGCCGGACUGAGAGGUUGAACGGCCACAUUGGGACUGAGACACGGCCCAGACUCCUACGGGAGGCAGCAGUGGGGAAUAUUGCACAAUGGGGGAAACCCUGAUGCAGCGACGCCGCGUGGAGGAAGAAGGUCUUCGGAUUGUAAACUCCUGUUGUUGAGGAAGAUAAUGACGGUACUCAACAAGGAAGUGACGGCUAACUACGUGCCAGCAGCCGCGGUAAAACGUAGGUCACAAGCGUUGUCCGGAAUUACUGGGUGUAAAGGGAGCGCAGGCGGGCGAUCAAGUUGGAAGUGAAAUCCAUGGGCUCAACCCAUGAACUGCUUUCAAAACUGGUCGUCUUGAGUAGUGCAGAGGUAGGCGGAAUUCCCGGUGUAGCGGUGGAAUGCGUAGAUAUCGGGAGGAACACCAGUGGCGAAGGCGGCCUACUGGGCACCAACUGACGCUGAGGCUCGAAAGUGUGGGUAGCAAACAGGAUUAGAUACCCUGGUAGUCCACACCGUAAACGACGAUAAGGAGGUGUUGGGAGAUUGACCCUCUCAGUGCCGCAG